rnacentral:rRNA from 1 species
AGCGAACGCUGGCGGCAGGCCUAACACAUGCAAGUCGAACGAACUCUUCGGAGUUAGUGGCGGACGGGUGAGUAACACGUGGGAACGUUCCUUUUGGUUCGGAAUAACUCAGGGAAACUUGUGCUAAUACCGAAUGUGCCCUUCGGGGGAAAGAUUUAUCGCCAUUAGAGCGGCCCGCGUCUGAUUAGCUAGUUGGUUAGGUAACGGCUCACCAAGGCGACGAUCAGUAGCUGGUCUGAGAGGAUGACCAGCCACACUGGGACUGAGACACGGCCCAGACUCCUACGGGAGGCAGCAGUGGGGAAUCUUGCGCAAUGGGCGAAAGCCUGACGCAGCCCUGCCGCGUGAAUGAUGAAGGUAUUAGGAUUGUAAAAUUCUUUCACCGGGGACGAUAAUGACGGUACCCGGAGAAGAAGCCCCGGCUAACUUCGUG